GAGCACUGUGAUGGAUUGGGUCAGUGCAUCUGGCUGCUAACCAGAAGGUUGGUGGUUCGAGCCCCCUGACCACCA
rnacentral:tRNA from 1 species